AUUGAACGCUGGCGGCAUGCUUUACACAUGCAAGUCGAACGGUAACAGGCCUUCGGGUGCUGACGAGUGGCGAACGGGUGAGUAAUGCAUCGGAACGUGCCCAAUCGUGGGGGAUAACGUAGCGAAAGUUACGCUAAUACCGCAUAAGCCCUGAGGGGGAAAGUGGGGGACCGCAAGGCCUCACGCGAAUGGAGCGGCCGAUGUCAGAUUAGCUAGUUGGUGGGGUAAAGCCCACCAAGGCGACGAUCUGUAGCGGGUCUGAGAGGAUGAUCCGCCACACUGGGACUGAGACACGGCCCAGACUCCUACGGGAGGCAGCAGUGGGGAAUUUUGGACAAGU
rnacentral:rRNA from 1 species